AACCUUCGAUCCCCCAUCCAACUAUUGACCUGACUUUUUAUUUCAAUGUCAAAAUAGUAGGUAAAGAGAGAAAUUUUAGUGGGAGACAAGGAAACUUUGGUGGGAGAGAAGGAAUUGCUGAUUUCUUGAGUAGAGGAGAGAGGACAGGAUCUUUUAUGCAAGUGGAAACACGGGUGUUAGCUGGGAACUGAAAAAGUUCAUCUGAAGUAACAGAAGAGGAGGCAGAGCACACAGAUCUGAUUGCAUUUGUUGAUAUGGUAACACUUCCUAGAGAGUCUUUAAUCAGUGGACUAGCUCUAGCAGCUUUACACAAGACUGAAAUUAUUGUAACAAAUGUUUCAUUUAAAUAUGACACCAUGGUUUGGAGUCCUAAGCCAUAAACAAUAAGCCAGAAUGAUUCUGCAGCUUUCAAAAGAAGAAAAGUCUGCAAACUUUGCAUGGAAACACACCACACAGCAUUUCUGAUGUCUUUACUGUCCCCUGGUCAUUGUCUUGUGCCCAUUGGAGGAGGCAUGUUUUAGGGUAUCAGUAGUGGAAGCAGGUGCAGCAGAAGUACAUCAGAGCCAGAUUAGGAAGUGAGGACAGAGUCAAGGGGCAAAGCCAACUUGUCGCAUGUCAGAACAGAAGAUGCCAAGAACUGAGAAGGGUGGAUUAUAGAUUUGGAGGCAUGGAAUGGGAGAACUAAUAUUAUAGGAUAAAACUGGAUGGCAAAGGCUGAAGACUUGGGGGUGUCAGGAAUAUUUCUGAAUUUAAAUGAUGGGUUCUGAACUAAUAAUUGUGGUUCAGACCCCAUUCACCAGAUUUGAAUGCAUCUCAGGAAGUAGGAGACUGGGGAGAAGAACUUUUAAAGAGCCACAUGCCUGCCUUUCUGCUCGGGUUCUGAGAUUCUUGAGGCAUUAUUGUCUCUGAAGGAAAUAAACAAUUGUUACCUUGUAAAGGUGUCUUUAUCCUCAGCACUAUUACAAAAUUUCAGGUGCAUGCAUGUAGCUACAAUCAUUGAGCAUCAUUCUGAUGUCCUUUGUGUAUCAGUCAUCUCUUAUGGUGACUUAAGUAUAAUGUCAAGGGUUCGGGUUAAGGCACUAGGUGGAACCAGAGUGGGAGAAACUGCUCCUUAGGAUGGAGGAGGCAGCAGUCCAUUAACCCAGGGGUUUCACGAACUGGACCAUUAUUUUUUUCUUUUUCUUUCUUUUUUUUUUUGAGACAGUGUUCUUAUUUUGUUGCCCAGGCUGGGGUGCAGUGGUACAUGGACCAUGAUAUUCUUAUCAAAGGACAUUUUGUCUGGUGGGUUGGAGCAAUAUUUGGCAGAACUAUGGUUUAAGAAAUCAUCUCAGAGAGCAGGAGGUGAAUGGGGAGAGGCUGAUGAGAAAAAGGCAUAAAUGAGAAUUCCUAGGUGAGCUAGUAAUGUUCUGGGCUGGAUUAAGUGUGAACUUGCAGAGUUAAGUGGAAAACCAGGGCAGGCAGGUUCUUAAUCUUAUGGGCUGGGCCAGCAAGAUGCAUAGUAGGGGGAGGCUCUUGUCCAGUACAGUGGAGGGCUGAUAUGGUUUGGCUGUGUCCCCACCCAAAUCUCUUCAUGAG
rnacentral:lncRNA from 1 species